rnacentral:RNase_P_RNA from 1 species
CGUACGGUCGGCCUUGUCGCCUUGAUUUAUCAGGGAGGAAAGUCCGGACAACAUAGAGCACCACGCUUCCUAACGGGAAGGCAGGAGGCCCCAGGUGGGCCGCUUGACAGACAGUGCCGCAGAGAGGGAAACCGCCACAGUGCAUCGAUCGAGUCCUGUGGUAAGGGUGAAAAGGUGGGGUAAGAGCCCACCAGCAGUUGAGGUGACUCAGCUGGCUUGGUAAACCUCGUGGGUUGAAAUGCCACGUAAACCGAUGCUUGAAGGCUGCUCGCCUGAGUCGGAGGGUAGGCAGAUAGAGCGAGUAGGUGACUGCUCGCCCAGAUCAAUGACAAGGACAUGCCCUGGCAUGUACAGAAUCCGGCUUAUAUGACCGUACGUUUU